rnacentral:rRNA from 1 species
GAAAUGCGAUAAGUAAUGUGAAUUGCAGAAUUCAGUGAAUCAUCGAAUCUUUGAACGCACCUUGCGCUCCUUGGUAUUCCGAGGAGCAUGCCUGUUUGAGUGUCAUUAAAUUCUCAACCCUUAUCAACUUUGUGCUGAUAAUGGGCUUGGAUAUGGGGGCUUUUUUGCUGGCUUCUUCACAGAUGGUCAGCUCCCCUGAAAUGCAUUAGCCGGUGCCCCGCGUGGACUGUCUAUUGGUGUGAUAAUUAUCUACGCUGUGGACAUCUACAAUCAUAUGGGUUUGUGCUGCUUCUAACUGUCUGUUCAUUCAGACAAUAUAUGACCAUUUGACCUCAAAUCAGGUAGGACUACCCGCUGAACUUAA